rnacentral:tRNA from 1 species
GGGGUUGUGGCUCAGUGGUAGAGUGCUCGCCUAGCAUGUGUGAGGCACUGGGUUCAAUUCUCAGCACCA